rnacentral:rRNA from 1 species
UGGGGGAAACCCUGAUGCAGCCAGCGGCGUGUGUGAAGAGGCCUUCGGGUUGUAAAGCACUUUUCAGUUGUGAGGAAAAGUUAGUAGGUUUAAUACCUGCAUAGCCGUGACGUUAACAACAGAAGAAGCACCGGCUAACUCCGUGCCAGCAGCCGCCGUAAUACGGAGGGUGCGACCGUUAAUCGGAAUUACUGGGCGUAAACCGCACGCAGGCGGUUUGUUAAGCUAGAUGUGAAAGCCCCGGGCUCAACCUGGGAUGGUCAUUUAGAACUGGCAGACUAGAGUCUUGGAGAGGGGAGGAUGGAAUUCCAGUGUGUAGCGUGUGAAAUGCGUAGAUAUCUGGAGGAACAUCAGUGGCGAACGCGACUCCCUGGCCAAAGACUGACGCUCAUGUGCGAAAGUGUGGGUAGCGAACAGGAAUAGAUACCCUGGUAGUCCACACCGUAAACGCUCUCUACUAGCUGUGU